AUUGAACGCUGGCGGCAGGCCUAACACAUGCAAGUCGAGCGAGCGACGGACGGGUGGGUAAUGUCUGGGAAACUGCCUGAUGGGGGGGGAUAACUACUGGACACGGUAGCUAAUACCACAUACCAUCGGAUGUGCCCAGAUGGGAGUAGCUAGUAGGUGGGGUAACGGCUCACCUAGGCGACGGUCCCUAGCUGGUCUGACAGGAUGACCAGCCACACUGGAACUGAGACACGGUCCAGACUCCUACGGGAGGCAGCAGUGGGGAAUAUUGCACAAUGGGGGCAAGCCUGAUGCAGCCAUGCCGCGUGUGUGAAGAAGGCCUUCGGGUUGUAAAGCACUUUCAGCGGGGAGGCGUUACCCGCAGAAGAAGCACCGGCUAACUCCGUGCCAGCAGCCGCGGUAAUUC
rnacentral:rRNA from 1 species